CUGUAACUCUCCUAAGGGGAGAAGUUCUUCUCAGCCAGAGAAGACUCAUUUAUGAAUCCAGUUCACUGUUGAGAUUGGGACUGUUGUACCUAGGCCAAACAUACAAAUUCUCAUACCUGGAAUCCGGACAUGUGUGGAGUUGUUCAUCUCAUCCCUGUCGCUUUCUGCAGGUGGGAUUGUGACAUACAUCUCUGCCCAGCUCCUGAGUGUUUUAGCUCUGUUUCCUGUGUCCAGCUCACAGAUGGGAUUCUGAUAUAUCACUGAAGCCAGCACCUAGAUGAUGUGACUCUUAUCUCCUGCCUUGGUGCUGCCCACAGGGGACAUUGGGACAUAUCACUUGGCCUUGCACCUAGGAUUUGUUUGGAAGGAGAUUGUGAUACAUUGGUGGGUCCAACUUCUCGGUGACAUUACUCUGUUGACUUUGCUCUGCAAGCAGAAAGCACUGUGACACAUUAUUGGGCCCAACACCAAGUGACAGAGCCAUUCAGAAAUAUUGGCAAGGACAACUCUGCAAGGCAGUCCAUUUCCUGUGGUCUCUGGCAAUUUUAUGCAUAGCCAGCAUUGACUGCGGUUGGCUUCUGUUGCAGUGGUUGCUGCCCAGUUGAUGAAUUCACUCUCCACCUCAGACAUGAUGACCCAGGAACACAUUUGAAAUAAUAGGACUGAAAAUUAUGAGGAAGAAACAUUUGUCCUUGGUGUUUCUGAAAUAUGUGAACCAAACCCCAAUGCCUGCACUUUUGCUCUCACAAACUUCUGACAUGAGGCACAGAUUUUUACAAGACAGCUUAACAUAGAAGUCUCACAAAAUGUGCAGAUUUCCUCAGAUCCCAAAAACAAUGGAAAAGCACUCAGACCACAAGAGCUUCAUGGGAAUAGCAGAAAGAAGAGGCGAACUUUGGCUGUCACUGUGAAUGCCCUGGAAUGUUAGUGGAUGAACAGAGAAGCCUUAGAAGAUUUAAGAGCAUAAUAAGCAUAGGGUAGGAAAUUUCCACCUGUGGCAGCAAAAGAAGUAAAUUUAGAAUUUUCCAGAACCAAUUUCUUUGAAGCAGAACUUCCAACACCACAUUUUUAAGGUUUUCUCCUUGGCCUUUGCACCUCUCAUCUUUGUUAUUUGUUCAUUCUUCCCUAUUGGGGUGUUGCCUAUUAUUCUCUCUCUUUUUACAUUCCAAAGAUAUUUCCUUUACUGUAGGACAGGGGCAUCCACGGGAGACUACAGCCAUGAGUUCUUAGUUUCUGUUUCUGGUUGAGCCAGUAAGGCGCUUUC